CUUUUCCCGAUUGACAUUUAACAACGAUCCAUGACGGAUUGGGCGCCAUUGUUGAAUCCGUCUUAUUUGGGACAGGACGGGACGGAAUUGGACGGAACGCACAAACUGUUCAACACCAUUGCCAACUUAAGCACGUACUAUUUGAUAUGACAAAAAUGAAGUGUCUGGCACAAAUGAGCAAGCAGAUAAGCAAAAAACUUAUUCUAUGAGCCCAUGUAGAAUUUUCUUUUUACUUAGGUUUACCUUAUUUCCUCUCAUUGAGCUACACUGUUGACUGCAACUAUAAAAGUCUCAUAUUAUAAUUAACAGAUUGUCAGUUACAAAUAUCUUAAAAUAGAUUCCACUGUUUUCACCUUUUUGAUAUUAACUUCUCCCAGACUUAAUUUUGCUCCAUCUACAAAUUUUUUUCCAAGAACCGACAAUGAAAAUUAUCGAAGCAUGAUUCCAGUUAGUUUAUGCGGCACUACUAAAUCUCACAAUCUACAAUUGUGAACAAGGAGGCUAAAAAUAAUACAUCAUGUCUCUUUUCGGAAAUAUUAUUUAUUGUUUUGUAACAAUAUAGAUUUUAAAAUCAACGAUUGUAGAAAAGCGAGAACUAUUGUGCAUUAAAUUAAACCACUAUGUGGUUACGAACAAAAUGUUUUUCAUAAUACUCUGAUAAGAAAUAGGCAAUCAAGCGAUAUGCAAGUUGUACCUUAAACUGCAUAAACAGGAAUUAUCGAUACUGCUAUGUAGCCAGUUAUUAACGCA